rnacentral:rRNA from 1 species
AGAACGAACGCUGGCGGCAUGCCUAACACAUGCAAGUCGAACGAGACCUUCGGGUCUAGUGGCGCACGGGUGCGUAACGCGUGGGAAUCUGCCCUUAGGUACGGAAUAACAGUGAGAAAUUACUGCUAAUACCGUAUGAUGUCUUCGGACCAAAGAUUUAUCGCCUAGGGAUGAGCCCGCGUAGGAUUAGCUAGUUGGUGGGGUAAAGGCCUACCAAGGCGACGAUCCUUAGCUGGUCUGAGAGGAUGAUCAGCCACACUGGGACUGAGACACGGCCCAGACUCCUACGGGAGGCAGCAGUGGGGAAUAUUGGACAAUGGGCGAAAGCCUGAUCCAGCAAUGCCGCGUGAGUGAAGAAGGCCUUCGGGUUGUAAACCCUGUUGCCCGGGACGAAUGUGCAUUUUUGAAUGCAUUGACGGUACCGGGUGAGGAAGCACCGGCUAACUCCGUGCCAGCAGCCGC